GUGUGUGUAUACACAAAUAAUGCUGACUGCUUCUUAUUCUGCUUCAGUGCAGCGAGCACAUUUCAGCUAACACACCUUUGUGCCACCUUUUCACCUGUGUCUCUCUUAUUCUACAGCCCCCCGAGCUGGCGGCUCAGCCGCUGUGUGAGACAUCCGACGGCCCCGGGAGCAGCCGAGGGGCACGAAGCACAGCGGAGGACAUCCAUGUGCUCCUGCCUCCCUUUGCCAGCACCCUGACGGUCACUUCAAGAUCACAAGCAUCUGCACAAGAUUCAAGGUAGAGGUGUACUGGGGUCUUCAGUGGUGGUACAAGAAAGGAGGAAUUGAAGAAGAGGGAUAGCAGAGUCAAAAGCUACACAGGAAACUAAUCAUCCUCCAAUUGGCAUUUCUCCUCAGAACUCUGAAAAGUGCUUGGGGAGAAAAGAGCAGCACAGAGGAGCAAAAGAAAUAAAAGAAAAAAGGCAGCUGGAAGAAGUUAAGAAGCCCAGAUGGGUCUUCUUCUUGAUGCUUCCCUCACUAGCCAGCACUCCUACCCUUUCCCAGAAUGGCACCAACCAACCAAAUGCCUGAAGCCUCAGACCUACACCCAGAUCUGCUGACCACAAACGUGAAAAAAUCUGCAGUUUCUUCAUAUGUGAUAAUGCCUGUAUUUGAGCACCAUAGACUACUUCACCCAGAAAAAGGUUUUUUCCCUACAACCACUUUUCCCUUCAGAGUUCAGUUUACAUUGCUCUCCACAGAGGACCUUUGAGCCCCCUCAGCUCUUAGGACUCUUGACCUGGAUUCAACCUCUGUCAUACCCAUCUCUAUGGGUGAUGCUAAAGAGUUUCCUAAGCACAGUUUCCAAGGUCAGAUGGAAAGCAGAAUUUGAAUCCAUAUUCCAUAACACUUCCAACUGCAGGGGAAGUCCUAAAUAGCUUCUUUCAUCACCAGCCACACUGAGGACAAGGAUGUGACUUCUUGUUCACAAGAAUGCUUCUGUUGUGAGAACCCUUCCGUGUUCAAGGACUUCCUUUGAGAAACAGGAAUUACAAGUUUGUGUCUGCGGUUUCUAUAUGAAGAUGAUCGCUAGAAACUAGAAACGUCGCUGAGCUUGAGCGUGAACAGGAGGGUCUGCCUCUCAUUGCUUUACCAGCAGGUGACCCUCACAGGGCAACACUUCUCUCUACUUUGAGAAGUACUUGCUAAAAGAGAGGGUUCUGAAAUGCCCAGGAACUUUGUUACUUUUAUGUCCUCCUGCCACUUUUUGCACUGAGCACACUGAUCACAUAUUGUCUCUGCUCUAGCUGAGACCCAGAAGGGGAAUCAUUCUGCUGUGUUUAGUUACACAUUCAUACACAUGGAGUUAGUCCUACCAAAGCUUACAUUUGCAGCUGGCAAAAAAGCCAUAUAACUUAUUAUUUUAUCUUGCCUCCAGUCUUUGGUGAAUGCUUGUGAAUGCCAUGGAACAGGGAGAGAGAAGCAGCAAGCGUUUCUCACAGCGGCUUGUGAGAAAUUUUAGAGAGUUAGAAAGGUGUGAUAACCUGAUGACUAUAAGCAAUUUACAGGUGCUGUUUUUCUACUUUGUUUUUCUGUUCCUCUCAAGGACAGUGUGUGAGAAAGAUGUUUCUGUUAGCCAGUAGAAUAGAAUCUAUUGUACCUCUCUAUAAAAACCACGUG